rnacentral:rRNA from 1 species
CCUACGGGCGGCAGCAGUGAGGAAUAUUGGUCAAUGGACGAGAGUCUGAACCAGCCAAGUAGUGUGAAGGAUGACGGCCCUAUGGGUUGUAAACUUCUUUUAUAUGGGAAUAAAAUGUUCCACGUGUGGGAUUUUGUAUGUACCAUAUGAAUAAGGCUCGGCUAACUCCGUGCCAGCCGCCGCGGUAAUACGGAGGACCCGAGCGUUAUCCGGAUUUAUUGGGUUUAAAGGGAGCGUAGGUGGAUUGUUAAGUGAGUUGUGAAAGUUCGCGGCUCAACCGUAAAAUUGCAGUUGAAACUGGCAGUCUUGAGUACAGGAGAGGUGGGCGGAAGUCGUGGUGUAGCGGUGAAAUGCUUAGAUAGCACGAAGAACUCCGAUUGCGAAGGCAGUUCACUGGACUGCAACUGACACUGAGGCUCGAAAGUGUGGGUAGCAAACAGGAUUAGAUACCCGAGUAGUC